CACCCGUCCCCACUGCAUUUCCCACAGCCCUUCGUGGAGGUGACAGCAGCCCGGCUCCGGCCCCAGCUCCAUCCCACAGAAAACAAUUCAAAGCAUCAUCGGUAGCCUGAUGUCGAGCAGCCAUAGAGAGUAUCAGACGAUCCAGUUUCUGCUUUUCAAGAGCACCCCCCAGCAUGGGAACGUCUUUGAGGAAGUGUCGGAGAGCACAUUGAUGCCCGGGGACAUACUGCUGUUUCCCUUAGACGCUACGUAUGGUCGAUUACGCUUCUGCUUGAAGCACGCGGCCGUCUACUGUGGGGACGGAGAAGUCAUACACUUC